rnacentral:rRNA from 1 species
AACGUACGCUGGCGGCACGCCUAAUACAUGCAAGUCGAACGAAGUAGCAAUACUUAGUGGCAGACGGGUGAGUAACAUGUAGGUAUCUUCCCUUUGGUGAGGAAUAACACGAGGAAACUUGUGCUAAUACCUCAUAAGUCUUUACGGAGAAAGCUUUAUGCGCCGAUGGAUGAGCCUGCACUUGAUUAGUUUGUUGGUAGGGUAAUGGCCUACCAAGACUAUGAUCAAUAGCUGAUUUGAGAGGAUGAUCAGCCACAUUGGGACUGAGACACGGCCCAAACUCCUACGGGAGGCAGCAGUAGGGAAUCUUGCACAAUGGGGGAAACCCUGAUGCAGCGAUGCCGCGUGAGUGAAGAAGGCCUUUGGGUUGUAAAGCUCUUUCGUCGGGGAAGAAAAUGACUGUACCCGAAUAAGAAGGUCCGGCUAACUUCGUGCCAGCAGCCGCGGUAAUACGAAGGGACCUAGCGUAGUUCGGAAUUACUGGGCUUAAAGAGUUCGUAGGUGGUUAAAAAAGUUGGUGGUGAAAUCCCAGAGCUUAACUCUGGAACUGCCAUCAAAACUUUUUAGCUAGAGUAUGAUAGAGGAAAGCAGAAUUUCUAGUGUAGAGGUGAAAUUCGUAGAUAUUAGAAAGAAUACCAAUUGCGAAGGCAGCUUUCUGGAUCAUUACUGACACUGAGGAACGAAAGCAUGGGUAGCGAAGAGGAUUAGAUACCCUCGUAGUCCAUGCCGUAAACGAUGUGUGUUAGACGUUGGAAAUUUAUUUUCUGUGUCGCAGCGAAAGCAAUAAACACACCGCCUGGGGAGUACGACCGCAAGGUUAAAACUCAAAUGAAUUGACGGGGACCCGCACAAGUAGUGGAGCAUGUGGUUUAAUUCGAAGAUACGCGCAGAACCUUACCAACACUUGACAUGUUCGUCGCGACUUUAAGAGAUUAAAGUUUUCGGUUCGGCCGGACGAAACACAGGUGCUGCAUGGCUGUCGUCAGCUCGUGUCGUGAGAUGUUGGGUUAAGUCCCGCAACGAGCGCAACCCUCACUUUUAGUUGCCAUCAUUUAGUUGGGCACUCUGAAAGAACUGCCAGUGAUAAGCUGGAGGAAGGUGGGGAUGACGUCAAGUCCUCAUGGCCCUUACGUGUUGGGCUACACACGUGCUGCAAUGGCAUUUACAAUAGGAAGCAAGACGGCGACGUUAAGCAAAUCCUAAAAAAAUGCCUCAGUUCGGAUUGUACUCUGCAACUCGAGUACAUGAAGCUGGAAUUACUAGUAAUCGCGGAUCAGCGCGCCGCGGUGAAUACGUUCCCGGGUCUUGUACACACCGCCCGUCACACCAUGGGAGUUGGUUCUACCUUAAGGCAAGGUUUAAUACCUUUGACCACGGUAUAGUCAGCUACUGGGGUGAAGUCGUAACAAGGUAGCCGUAGGGGAACCUGCGGCUGGAUUACCUCCUUUCUAAGGAUGAAUAAAAUUUUAUAAUUUUAUUCUAAAUAUUUAACAGGUUAAUGUUGACCGUCCGCACUUCUCUUUUUAAUUUUUGUGUUUCUCUUAAAAACAAUGAGGGCCGGUAGCUCAGUUGGUUAGAGCACACCCUUGAUAAGGGUGGGGUCGAAAGUUCGAGUCUUUCUCGGCCCACCAAAUAUAUCUGGGGGAUUAGCUCAGCUGGGAGAGCGCCUGAUUUGCAUUCAGGAGGUCAGCGGUUCGAUCCCGCUAUCCUCCACCAUGAAACACUUAGCUAUUAUAACUGUGAAUAUUUUAAUAAUUAUUAUCAAUAUCUAUAUCCGAUUGUUCGAAUAGAUGAACAAUCAUGAAUGUUCGAAUAGAUGAACAUUCCAACAAAAUUUGAUUCAAACACAGAAUUUUUUUCUGUGCAUAAAUCAAGCGUUUAAGGGCGUGUGGCGGAUGCCUUGGCACUAAAAGACGACGAAGGACGUGGUAUACUGCGAUAAGUUUCGGGGAGCUGUAUGCAAGUUUUGAUCCGAAAAUAU